GAGAGGACGACCAGCCCCACUGGGACUGAGACACGGCCCAGACUCCUACGGGAGGCAGCAGUGGGGAAUUUUGGACAAUGGGGGAAACCCUGAUCCAGCCAUGCCGCGUGAGUGAAGAAGGCCUUCGGGUUGUAAAGCUCUUUCAGCCGGAACGAAACAGUCACGGAUAAUACCCGUGACUACUGACGGUACCGGAAGAAGAAGCACCGGCUAACUACGUGCCAGCAGCCGCGGUAUUUUUUAUGGUGCGAGCGUUAAUCGGAAUUACUGGGCGUAAAGCGUGCGCAGGCGGUUUUGUAAGUCAGAUGUGAAAUCCCCGGGCUUAACCUGGGAACUGCGUUUGAAACUACAAGGCUAGAAGGG
rnacentral:rRNA from 1 species